rnacentral:rRNA from 1 species
UACGUAGGGUGCGAGCGUUGUCCGGAAUUACUGGGCGUAAAGAGCUCGUAGGUGGUUUGUCGCGUUGUUCGUGAAAUCUCACGGCUUAACUGUGAGCGUGCGGGCGAUACGGGCAGACUAGAGUACUGCAGGGGAGACUGGAAUUCCUGGUGUAGCGGUGGAAUGCGCAGAUAUCAGGAGGAACACCCGUGGCUAAGGCGGCUCUCUAGUACGGUACUGACGCUGAGACGCGAAAGCGUGGGGAGCGAACAGG